ACUGACUAUCUUGAGACACAGUGAAAGAGCAUGACAUUGAAAAGGAAAUUAACCUUUCUGGUAGAAUCAUAUUUAACACCAUACAGCCCUGAGCCAAUGCAAGAGGUGUAAUAUCACGAAUGGUUGACAUAUUCUAAUGGAGAGUUGGAAGGCAAGCAGGUGUUCAGCGCUGUCUACCAGCACCUCACUGGCUGCUCCCGGAGAUUCGGGAAGUCCAAGUUACCUGUAUUAUUUAAGCAGACACCCGGUUACUCCUGAUUGUGGAGCCCUAGUUUUGAGAAUGUUAUGUCCCGUGAUGUUGACGUUCUGCUGGAAAUCAGAAAAAUAAACUCUGG